GACGAACGCUGGCGGCGUGCUUAACACAUGCAAGUCGAACGGUGAAGCGCCUUCCUUUUUGGUGGGUGUGGAUGAGUGGCGAACGGGUGAGUAACACGUGAGUAACCUGCCCCCUUCUUCUGGAUAACCGCAUGAAAGUGUGGCUAAUACGGGAUAUUCUGGGUCUGUCGCAUGAUGGGUCUGGGAAAGAUAUUGUUUCGGUGGGGGAUGGGCUCGCGACCUAUCAGCUUGUUGGUGGGGUGAUGGCCUACCAAGGCGGUGACGGGUAGCCGGCCUGAGAGGGUGGACGGUCACACUGGGACUGAGACACGGCCCAGACUCCUACGGGAGGCAGCAGUGGGGAAUAGUGCACAAUGGGCGCAAGCCUGAUGCAGCGACGCCGCGUGAGGGAUGGAGGCCUUCGGGUUGUGAACCUCUUUCGCCAGUGAAGCAGGCCUGCCUCGUUUGUGGGUGGGUUGACGGUAGCUGGAUAAGAAGCGCCGGCUAACUACGUG
rnacentral:rRNA from 1 species